rnacentral:tRNA from 1 species
GGGCCUGUAGCUCAAGGCAGAGUCCCCGCCUUGCACGCGGGAGGAUGCCGGGUCGAACCGGCCGGGUCCAC